rnacentral:lncRNA from 1 species
GCCCCGGUGCGUGUCUGACUUCCGCGGUUCCGGCUUCAACGGAGGGGCGUGGGCACUGUGUGCUUAUGCCUAACAGAUCUCGGGAUCUCUGUCGCUGGUUCUUCCCGUAAGCUUCCUCGAUUCCGGGGUCUCAUCCAGCCCUGUACGGUUAAUAAGAGGACGGACUUGCCAACAUGGCCUUUGCUUCCAGGGCUCUAGGACCCGACUGGCCCGGUUAGAUAGAUGACCGUCACCCAGCUGUGUUGACCGGGUUCAGUCUGGAGCCUCAGCUAGCCUCCAGGUCUUGCCUUCCUUCUGCUGCCUUGUUUUGAUUUAAUUAUUAUUUUAUUGUGUCAGUGUCUCGUACUACAUACUUCGACUCACUGUAUAGGAUGCUCUUGAACUCUUGAUCUCCUGUUUCUACCCCCUGAAAGCUGGGAUUACAGCCAUGAGAAAAACUCUUCUGAGGUCAGCCACACCCAGAGCAUUGCAUUAUCAGAGCAACCUUGGCUGAGGCCACUCUUGACUGUCACUUUGAGCAAGAUUAGGACAGUGACCCUAAGACUGAGGAAUGUUCAGCACGAGGAACGACCGAGCACACGGGAUCUGCUGAGCCACACUUGAGAUUGAACUUGUUUGAUGAGUUGGUAACUCUGUUUCAUACACUUCCCGGGAAGAAAAUGGUCUCAGGGUAGAAGGAGAUGAAGCAAGCCCCACCAUAUUCAGCAACUGUCAACUACGAUGAUAGGCAGAGCCAAAGAAAGGGGGCUUGUGAGAACUUUGGAUCUGUCUAAAAUAAGAAUCUAGAUGGCUAAUCUUAGUAAGAGAUGCUGACAGUCCCACGUGAAGAAAUGACUGGCUUCCUAGGGAAGAAAAUGGCUUCUGAUCUGUAAAAUUUGUACUGAAAAGAAAAUCUAAAAGGAUUUAGUACAUUCAACCUCUACAAAACACAAACGAGGAAAUAAUCUGAUAAAGACGUGGAGCACAUUUCAAUUUCUAAUUCUAAAUUUCCAUGUAUGUCUUGAAAGCUUUGAAAGUACAAGUUUAAGGCAUCAAAAUGACUAAUUAUAGACGAUAAUAACAUAGUCUGCAUCCCAGGAGGCAACUGGAGGCGUUUUAAUUGGAAAUAAGCAUUUGAGAUAAUGU